UGGGGAAUAUUGGACAAUGGGCGCAAGCCUGAUCCAGCCAUGCCGCGUGAGUGAUGAAGGCCUUAGGGUUGUAAAGCUCUUUCGGCGGGGACGAUAAUGACGGUACCCGCAGAAGAAGCCCCGGCUAACUUCGUGCCAGCAGCCGCGGUAAUACGAAGGGGGCUAGCGUUGUUCGGAAUCACUGGGCGUAAAGGGCGCGUAGGCGGCUUUAUAAGUCGGGGGUGAAAGCCUGUGGCUCAACCACAGAAUUGCCUUCGAUACUGUAGAGCUUGAGACCGGAAGAGGUAAGUGGAACUGCGAGUGUAGAGGUGAAAUUCGUAGAUAUUCGCAAGAACACCAGUGGCGAAGGCGGCUUACUGGUCCGGUUCUGACGCUGAGGCGCGAAAGCGUGGGGAGCAAACA
rnacentral:rRNA from 1 species